AUACUGCACUGCUUAUUGCACCACAUGUGUUUUUCUUUGAAACAAACUUGCUUUGGCGGUGGGCCCAGCCUGCCGCCAGAGGUCUAAACUUACAACCAAUUUUUUAUUAACUUGUCACACCAGAUUAUUACUUAAUAGUCAAAACUUUCAACAACGGAUCUCUUGGUUCUCGCAUCGAUGAAGAACGCAGCGAAAUGCGAUACGUAAUAUGAAUUGCAGAUAUUCGUGAAUCAUCGAAUCUUUGAACGCACAUUGCGCCCUCUGGUAUUCCGGAGGGCAUGCCUGUUUGAGCGUCGUUUCUCCCUCAAACCGCUGGGUUUGGUGUUGAGCAAUACGACUUGGGUUUGCUUGAAAGACGGUAGUGGUAAGGCGGGAUCGCUUUGACAAUGGCUUAGGUCUAACCAAAAACAUUGCUUGCGGCGGUAACGUCCACCACGUAUAUCUUCAAACUUUGACCUCAAAUCAGGUAGGACUACCCGCUGAACUUAAGCAUAUCAAUAAGGGGAGAAA
rnacentral:rRNA from 1 species